rnacentral:rRNA from 1 species
GAUGAACGCUGGCGGCGUGCCUAAUACAUGCAAGUCGAGCGAACGGACGAGAAGCUUGCUUCUCUGAUGUUAGCGGCGGACGGGUGAGUAACACGUGGAUAACCUACCUAUAAGACUGGGAUAACUUCGGGAAACCGGAGCUAAUACCGGAUAAUAUUUUGAACCGCAUGGUUCAAAAGUGAAAGACGGUCUUGCUGUCACUUAUAGAUGGAUCCGCGCUGCAUUAGCUAGUUGGUAAGGUAACGGCUUACCAAGGCAACGAUGCAUAGCCGACCUGAGAGGGUGAUCGGCCACACUGGAACUGAGACACAGUCCAGACUCCUACGGGAGGCAGCAGUAGGGAAUCUUCCGCAAUGGGCGAAAGCCUGACGGAGCAACGCCGCGUGAGUGAUGAAGGUCUUCGGAUCGUAAAACUCUGUUAUUAGGGAAGAACAUAUGUGUAAGUAACUGUGCACAUCUUGACGGUACCUAAUCAGAAAGCCACGGCUAACUACGUGCCAGCAGCCGCGGUAAUACGUAGGUGGCAAGCGUUAUCCGGAAUUAUUGGGCGUAAAGCGCGCGUAGGCGGUUUUUUAAGUCUGAUGUGAAAGCCCACGGCUCAACCGUGGAGGGUCAUUGGAAACUGGAAAACUUGAGUGCAGAAGAGGAAAGUGGGAUUCCAUGUGUAGCGGUGAAAUGCGCAGAGAUAUGGAGGAACACCAGUGGCGAAGGCGACUUUCUGGUCUGUAACUGACGCUGAUGUGCGAAAGCGUGGGGAUCAAACAGGAUUAGAUACCCUGGUAGUCCACGCCGUAAACGAUGAGUGCUAAGUGUUAGGGGGUUUCCGCCCCUUAGUGCUGCAGCUAACGCAUUAAGCACUCCGCCUGGGGAGUACGACCGCAAGGUUGAAACUCAAAGGAAUUGACGGGGACCCGCACAAGCGGUGGAGCAUGUGGUUUAAUUCGAAGCAACGCGAAGAACCUUACCAAAUCUUGACAUCCUUUGACAACUCUAGAGAUAGAGCUUUCCCCUUCGGGGGACAAAGUGACAGGUGGUGCAUGGUUGUCGUCAGCUCGUGUCGUGAGAUGUUGGGUUAAGUCCCGCAACGAGCGCAACCCUUAAGCUUAGUUGCCAUCAUUAAGUUGGGCACUCUAAGUUGACUGCCGGUGACAAACCGGAGGAAGGUGGGGAUGACGUCAAAUCAUCAUGCCCCUUAUGAUUUGGGCUACACACGUGCUACAAUGGACAAUACAAAGGGCAGCGAAACCGCGAGGUCAAGCAAAUCCCAUAAAGUUGUUCUCAGUUCGGAUUGUAGUCUGCAACUCGACUACAUGAAGCUGGAAUCGCUAGUAAUCGUAGAUCAGCAUGCUACGGUGAAUACGUUCCCGGGUCU